rnacentral:rRNA from 1 species
AACGAACGCUGGCGGCAGGCCUAACACAUGCAAGUCGAGCGAAGCCUUCGGGCUUAGCGGCGGACGGGUGAGUAACGCGUGGGAACGUGCCCUUUGGUACGGAAUAGCCCCGGGAAACUGGGAGUAAUACCGUAUGUGGUCGAGAGACGAAAGAUUUAUCGCCAAAGGAUCGGCCCGCGUUGGAUUAGGUAGUUGGUGGGGUAAUGGCCUACCAAGCCGACGAUCCAUAGCUGGUUUGAGAGGAUGAUCAGCCACACUGGGACUGAGACACGGCCCAGACUCCUACGGGAGGCAGCAGUGGGGAAUCUUAGACAAUGGGGGAAACCCUGAUCUAGCCAUGCCGCGUGAUCGAUGAAGGCCUUAGGGUUGUAAAGAUCUUUCAGUGGGGAAGAUAAUGACUGUACCCACAGAAGAAGCCCGGCUAACUCUGUGCCAGCCGCCGCAGUAAGAC